AUCACCUGGAGCUCUUGUUAAAAUGCAGGUUCUGAUCUGGUGGGUCUUGAGGCCUGAGAUUCUGCAUUUCUAACAAGUUCCUAGGCGGUGCUUA
rnacentral:pre_miRNA from 1 species